rnacentral:lncRNA from 10 species
UUCUGUCUUCAGUGGGUCCCAGCAGUGGAAUGAAUAUCAGCAGCACAGGACUCCUGUGGCGCAUCCUACAGUGCUGCAAAUGUACAGAGGGUGAACAGGAUUCUUGCUUUCAAGGACACAGUGCUUGUUUCCUCUGGAGGACGCAGCCAGCAAUAAGGCACCAUCUUGGAAGUAGGGUGAGUCCUCACCAGAUGCUGAAUCUGCCGUCACCUUGAUCUUGGACUUCCCAGCCUGCAGAACUGUGAGAAACACAUUUCUAUUAUUUAUAAAUUACCCAGUCUCAGAUAUUUUGUGAUAGCAGCACAAGUGGACAAAGACAGAUGGCCGCAAGAAUAUUACUCAUUCCGCUGUCCUUCUGAACAACCUGACACUCCCCUAUCAAGAGGUGAUACUCUACUAUGUUAUUGAAAAGGUAUCACUACUGGGGAAACCUCAACUCAAAAAUCUACCCAAGUUCUAGUUUGAACUGUUUACUAAGACUACAUAACAACACUAUUAAAAGAGUCUCCUGAGGAGCCCUGGCCUGCCCUGAAACUCAGGCCUGUGAAAGAGACAGCGCC